AAUGAAAUUGUUCUAUUUUAUUCCAUGGCCUAGGCCUGGCCUGAAGCCCAAUAGCCAAUUGCUAGUUACUUGACAAAAAUGAGAAUACAAUUGGGCUCGACAUGAAGCCGAAAUCGAAAACUUAAUGGCAAGAGGGGAAUUUGGCACAGCUAGGCUAAUGCCGGUGGCGCAAUUUAACAUUUCAGCACUAACGUUGGGAGAAUACUACAAAUUUCACGAAACUCCUUGGAUCUGAACAAACACAGACAAACUUGAUCACGUGUGAAGCACAUUUGAAUAUCACAUAUGUUCUUUACUGAAAAUAUGAUCCCCAAUGCGAUAACCAAAACCUUUACACAAAUUGUUCCUCAUUUAACAUCAAAAAUUCUGAGAUCAAAGCUCAUGCUAAAUUCUGAUCUCACACCAGCAUAUUUAAACAAGACCACAUGACUCAAAAUUUUCUAAAGAAAACCAAAUGUAAAGAAUUAAUCUAAAUCUGAGAAUCCUCAAAGCUGAAAUCAAACUCAAAUUCCAUUUGAAAGUUCUUUUAAAAAUUCAAAGUUCUUAUAUAUGAACAGAGGCAGAACUAAGUUACAAAUUUCUGAAAUCAAUAGACUAUGCUUCAGGCUAUAUAUAAGCAAGUCUGAACACAUGAUUAAUGGGAAACAAACUUAAAUAAGAUUUACUAGACCAACAACAUGAAUGGUUUGAACUAAUAAGUCUAUAACCCAGAGCUAUGAAAACACACUCAAAGCCAGCCAGACUCACAAUCAAACUAAAUUGUCACAGUCUUCAGUUAAUACAUUUUAUACUAAAUCUAAAAAGACAUUCUUGAAUCAACUACAUUCAAACAAAAUCACAUAUCCAAACCUUAAGACAAACAUGUAGGACUGAUGACAUGAAUGACUACACAUAAGAAAACUGGACUAAAAGAAACACAAAACAAAAUACAACAAACUUAAAAAGCUGAUAAAGCAAUAGAGAAUUAGCAAUUGUCAAUUUCUUCAACUUGAAUUACAUGGCUUCACAUAACAGCAUAAUCAAGCUUCAUUUCCAUUCAUGGUUUGACGAAAGUACCUGGAAGUUAAGAAGGAAUCAAAGGGAAUGAAAGGGUUAACAACAGUAGCAGCAAAAUCAGCAAUGUAACAGUGCCAAUCAGCAAACCAAAACCCAAACUUCAGGAACCAGACCCCAAACAAUUCAAACCCAAACUUUUAAACCCAAAUUCGAGCCAUUUUUACUCAGAUGCACGAUUUUGGAGUUCUUCAGAAGUUAUAAACCAAGCAAAAGAAUUUAGAGAAUCGAACAAUCAAAACCAAUUUUGAGCAAUUUUCAGUACUUUUGAAAUUUGGAAAAGGAAUUCAAGUACUUCUGAAAUUUCAGUGUUUUUAGCCUUUUGUCAG
rnacentral:lncRNA from 1 species